UGAGCCCUCCGCUGCCGCUGGGCCUCCUCCCUCGGACCGGGGUCCGGGCCCGGCCUCCUGCCUCAGACUCAGAGGUCCAGGACCUGCUGUUGUCCCCUCAUUUUCUCAGCCUUCCUGCCCCAGUUUCCCAGGGCCAGCUGAGGAGCCGCGCACUGGCCCUGGGCAAGAGAUGUGACAAAUAAGCUAAUGCCAGGGCACUGCUCGCUAAUGAGGCUUGUCCACCUCGUUAAGAUCAGGCAGCAGGUCUAAAAGGCUAAUUAGUGAAAACCCUACUUCCUCCGACCCCACUCUGGGGUCAAUGGGGGUGGCAAGAGCUCCAGCCUCUGCCACUUCUCUGCCCUCUCUGGAACUCGUCUCUGUCCUGGAAGCAAGGUGUGGCGAUCAGCAAGAGACCCAGCACCAGAGAUGGAGCUAGCAGUGGGGUUCCCAGGACCCCAGAGGAAGCAGAAGAGAAGGAAGCAGCAAAUGUUAUUUUUCUGGGUGUCCUCGCCACCACCCCACUCAGGUCCCGGUCACAGGGAGUUUGGAGUGAGGGAUGGGGCAUGGCAGGGGCAGGAGGCGGGUGCGGAGGAACCUGUAGGACCAGGUCCCUGAGGGCCACUUCCUGGCCCAGGUAAGGGGGACAGCAUCGCCACAGCACACUACAGCGCGCUGGUCUGAGGGUUCUGGGCAUUUCCUGUCCUAACAGAUGAGCCAGGGCGACUAAGACUGCAGUUGGUAGGGGAAGGAAGGGUGACAAAGCAGGUGAGGAGCGCCCUGUGUGCUUCCUGAUGCCUCCAGCCCCACCUCACCCCCAUGACGACCCUGUGAGGGGUGCAACUGUGUGAUCCCCACUUUACAGAUGAGGAAAUGGAGGUCAACGCCCAGGCCUGGUGCCCUACACUUCCACAGGUACUUUCCGCCCUGCAUUCCCUGGAGACGGAGCCUGACUGUCGAAACACUGGGAGCAGAGCUCACGUAAUUGAGGGCUGCUGGGUACCAGGGACACAGAGUGGAAUCAACCCGGAAGAUGGUUCUAUUUAUUAGAUGUCUUGAACUCUUCAACCUUUAACAGCCCUGCGGAAGUGGGAACAGCCCACACCCUGUCCUGCUGCCCACCCAGCUGCCCGGCCCUGUCAUCCUCAUCAUCAUCGGCACAGGAGAGGAGGAGGGAGUCAGAAUCCAGGGCUGGGCAUGGCUCAGGCAGAAGAGCUGUGACGGAAGUGCAUGGAAAUGGUGGGGGGGGGGGCUUCCUGCCCUGGCCUGGCUGUGGUUUGUGCAUCAUCUUCCUUCUGCCUCACCUUGCUGUCCUGAAAGCCAAACCCAACCACUGAAACCCUCCGUGGCUCCUAGUGCCUCCAGAGAAAAUUUUAUCUCUCUGGUUGGCAUUCAAGGCCUUGGAUUUCUGGUCCCUGCUAUUGUGACCUCUUCUCUCCUGUGUCAGGGCCUUUGCUCAUGACAUUCUCUUUGGCUGGGACAUCCUUGUCUCUCACCUGUACCCCCAUACUUGUGGUUCCCAAGGAUUAGGGUAUGUCAGAGUCACCCAGGGAACUUAUUACAAAUGCAGAUUCCUAGUCCCACCCCAGGAGUCUAGGAUGGGCCCAGAACCUACAGGGACAACUUUUACUUAACCUGAGGGACCCAGGACCCAGCUUGUGCCCUGGAAGCAGGUGGAUUCCAGCUCAGAUCCCAGACUCGCCUCUCUCCACUGGAAGAUCUGAUCUGGGAGGCCCCAGCCUUGGGCUGGCUCUUUCCCUAAUUGGCUGUGGCCUGGGUGGCCCCACAGCAAGCUCCCCAAAAGCGUUGCGUCUUGCGUGGUACACGUGACAGUGUGUGAGCAGCGGUGUGGCCACUUUGGGUAAAGAUUUGGCAGCGUGUUAGGAAAGCAAACAUGCUUCCACCCUACACCCCAGCAGUUCCAUGCCUGGGACGAGGCAGGGGGACUGCACUGGUCACUGCACUUUCUCCCAAGCCCGAGCUGCAGACAGCCUUGUUCUGCAGGCAGCGCACACUGUGCCAGGGCUGGGAUAUGGACUGGCUGAAGGCCUCGAGUUGAAGUCUUGGGCCCCAGGUUUUGGCUACUCAGUGGUAUGGGACCCUCAAGAGGCGGGGCCUCAUGGGAGGUUCCUGGUCACAGGACCGUGGCCUGGAAGGGACAGUGGGACCCCAGCCCCUUCCUCUUUUGCUCUUUCACUUCCCAGCCAUGAGCAGCUUUGCUCCUCCACACACUCUUCCUACCCUGUGCUGCUACCUCAACACAGAUCCCUUUGAAUGGGCCAAUUGACCACGGCCUGAAACCGUGAGCCAAAUAAACCUUUCUUCUUCUUAAGUUUAUUAUCUGAGGUAUUUUGUUACAGUCAUGAGAAGCUGACUAACACAGUGAUGGAUCCAAAUAGUGGAGCAGUGCUCAGCAAACUAGCAGGGUGUGGCACUUGUAAGG